rnacentral:rRNA from 1 species
GACGAACGCUGGCGGCGUGCUUAACACAUGCAAGUCGAACGAAAAGAGGGAAAGAGCUUGCUCUUUCCGGAAUUGAGUGGCAAACGGGUGAGUAACACGUAAACAACCUGCCUUCAGGAUGGGGACAACAGACGGAAACGACUGCUAAUACCGAAUAAGUUCCAAGGGCCGCAUGGCCCAUGGAAGAAAAGGUGGCCUCUACCUGUAAGCUAUCGCCUGAAGAGGGGUUUGCGUCUGAUUAGCUGGUUGGAGGGGGAACGGCCCACCAAGGCGACGAUCAGUAGCCGGUCUGCGAGGAUGAACGGCCGCACUGGGACUGGGACACGGUCCAGGCUCCUACGGGAGGCAGCAGUGGGGAAUCUUCCGCAAUGGGCGAAAGCCUGACGGAGCAACGCCGCGUGAGUGAUGACGGCCUUCGGGUUGUAAAACUCUGUGAUCCGGGACGAAAAGGCAGAGUGCGAAGAACAAACUGCAUUGACGGUACCGGAAAAACAAGCCACGGCUAACUACGUG